UACGUAGGGUGCAAGCGUUGUCCGGAAUUAUUGGGCGUAAAGAGCUCGUAGGCGGUCUGUCGCGUCUGCUGUGAAAACUCAGGGCUUAACCCUGAGCUUGCAGUGGGUACGGGCAGACUAGAGUGCGGUAGGGGAGACUGGAAUUCCUGGUGUAGCGGUGAAAUGCGCAGAUAUCAGGAGGAAAACCGGUGGCGAAGGCGGGUCUCUGGGAAGUAACUGACGCUGAGGAGCGAAAGCAUGGGGAGAGAACAGG
rnacentral:rRNA from 1 species